rnacentral:rRNA from 1 species
GCAAUGCCGCGUGCAGGAAGAAGGCCUUCGGGUUGUAAACUGCUUUUGUCAGGGAAGAAAUCCUCUAGGUUAAUACCCUUGGGGGGAUGACGGUACCUGAAGAAUAAGCACCGGCUAACUACGUGCCAGCAGCCGCGGUAAUACGUAGGGUGCGAGCGUUAAUCGGAAUUACUGGGCGUAAAGCGUGCGCAGGCGGCUUUGCAAGACAGAUGUGAAAUCCCCGGGCUCAACCUGGGAACUGCAUUUGUGACUGCAAGGCUAGAGUACGGCAGAGGGGGAUGGAAUUCCGCGUGUAGCAGUGAAAUGCGUAGAUAUGCGGAGGAACACCGAUGGCGAAGGCAAUCCCCUGGGCCUGUACUGACGCUCAUGCACGAAAGCGUGGGGAGCAAACAGGAUUAGAUACCCUGGUAGUCCACGCCCUAAACGAUGUCAACUGGUUGUUGGACGGCUUGCUGUUCAGUAACGAAGCUAA